CCUACGGGAGGCAGCAGUGAGGAAUAUUGGUCAAUGGACGCGAGUCUGAACCAGCCAAGUAGCGUGAAGGAUGACUGCCCUAUGGGUUGUAAACUUCUUUUAUAUGGGAAUAAAACGUUCCACGUGUGAGAUUUUGUAUGUACCAUAUGAAUAAGGAUCGGCUAACUCCGUGCCAGCAGCCGCGGUAAUACGGAGGAUCCGGGCGUUAUCCGGAUUUAUUGGGUUUAAAGGGAGCGUAGGUGGAUUGUUAAGUGAGUUGUGAAAGUUUGCGGCUCAACCGUAAAAUUGCAGUUGAAACUGGCAGUCUUGAGUACAGUAGAGGUGGGCGGAAUUCGUGGUGUAGCGGUGAAAUGCUUAGAUAUCACGAAGAACUCCGAGUGCGAAGGCAGUUCACUGGACUGCAACUGACACUGAGGCUCGAAAGUGUGGGUAUCAAACAGGAUUAGAUACCCGUGUAGUC
rnacentral:rRNA from 1 species